rnacentral:rRNA from 1 species
AGAGUUUGAUCCUGGCUCAGAGCGAACGCUGGCGGCAUGCUUAACACAUGCAAGUCGCACGGUCGGGUUUCGGCCCGGCAGUGGCGGACGGGUGAGUAACGCGUAGGGAUCUGUCCAUGGGUGGGGGAUAACGCCGGGAAACUGGUGCUAAUACCGCAUGACACCUGAGGGUCAAAGGUCGCAAGACCGCCUGUGGAGGA